UACGUAGGGGGCUAGCGUUGUCCGUAAUCAUUGGGCGUAAAGAGCGUGUAGGCGGCCAGAUAAGUCCGCUGUGAAAUCUCGAGGCUCAACUUCGAGCUGUCGGUGGAAACUGUCUGGCUAGAGUCCGGAAGAGGAGAAUGGAAUUCCUGGUGUAGCGGUGAAAUGCGCAGAUAUCAGGAAGAACACCAAUGGCGAAGGCAGCUCUCUGGGACGGUACUGACGCUGAGACGCGAAAGCGUGGGGAGCGAACAGG
rnacentral:rRNA from 1 species